AGUGACUCACUAGCAUAGAUGCCUGAAGCAAGUGGAAUGGAUGAGCUGAAGAAGAGUCCAUGUGUCCACCAGGAGCUAUAAGGAGGAGCCAAUCCACGUGGCUGGAUCCUUUGUUCCUUGAGAACUGGAAAAUCAGGGAAAUCUCAAAAUUCUGUACCAUAUACUACGUUAAACAGGAGAAGUAAACAUUUAUUCCUGAUACAGGAAAAGCUUUCAACUUUUCACCACUGAGUAUGAUGUUAGCUGUGGGCUUGUCAGAUAUGGCAUUUCCUACAUUGAGAAAAUGAUGUUUCUGUACUUUGAUGAAGUUACAGAGAGAAGUUGAAUGUGCACAAUGUCCUAGGCACCUCGGUGAAAACGUAAGUUUUCUAAUGAAAUAUAUGGUAUAGAAUCAAUGUCCAUGGUAGAUUCCAAAG